ensembl:snRNA U6 U6 spliceosomal RNA
GUGCUUACUUCGACAGCAUAUAUACUAAAAUUGGGACGAUACAGAGAAGCAUGGCCCCUUAGCAAGGAUGACACACAGAUUUGUGAAGCAUUCCAUAUUUUU